rnacentral:tRNA from 1 species
UGCGGUGUCGUCUAACAGCAGGACAACGGGCUUUGACCCCGUGGAUGGAGGUGCGAGUCCUCCUGCCGCAGCCA